GGAUCAUUACACAAUAAGAAGGCGGGCUGGAUACCCCCAGCGGUAGCAUCGCUUCACGGCGUGCGCAGCUGGGCCGGCCUUGCUGAAUUAUUCACCCGUGUCUUUUGCGUACUUGCUGUUUCCUGGGCGAGGUCGCCCGCCCUCAGGGAACAAAACAUUAAACCUUUUGGCAAUAGCCAAUCAGCGUCAGGUACCCAAUGUUAAUUAACAUUUACAGCUUCCAAACCAAGGGAUCUCCUGGGGUCCUGGCCUCGAAUGAAGAACCCCCAGCGAAAAUUGCGAAUAACGUUAAGUGUGAAUUGCCGGAAAUUUCAGUUGAAUCAUCGGAAAUUCUUGGGAACGCCCCAUUUGCGGCCCCUUAAGGUAUUCCCAAAGGGGCCAUGCCUUGUUUCGAACCGGUCCUUUUGUAUCCCUUCAAGCCUUUGGCAGAGGUGUAGGGCGUCUUGGUCUCCCCGAUUUGGCGGGAGACUCGCCUUUAAAGUCUUUGGCCGGCGGCCUACUGGUUUCGGAGCGCAGCACAAGUCGCGCUCUCUUCCAGCCAAGGUCAGCGUCCAGUAAGCCUUUUUUCAACCUUUGACCUCGGAUCAGGUAGGGAUACCCGCUGAACUUAAGCAUAUCAAUAAGCGUGAGGAAAAGAAACCAACAGGGAUUGCCCUAGUAACGGCGAGUGAAGCGGCAACAGUUAAGUUCCGGCCUCCGGUAGAAUCAGACACUCCGUUGUACUCUACAGAGAUCAACCCCACUGCUUCUCUGCACUAGCUACCUCGUCAGAUGUGAC
rnacentral:rRNA from 1 species